rnacentral:misc_RNA from 1 species
CAGUCGCGGGUUUUAUUCCCAUUCGGGAUGGAUAUGCGCACAGUAAAAAUAGCGUAAAAAUGAAAAACAUUCAGAGACAUUCUUAAUUGAGAAAAUUUCUGGGUGAGAGUGAGUGGAGGUGAGAUGAACACUUACCUUGUAGCAGUCCCAUCUGUAAGCGCUGGAUUGCAGCGAGGAGACCAGCAACAUCAGCGUUUUGAAAAUGAAUUGCAGUGGGUGUCAUCAAGAAAGUCCACAAUGGCAGCGUUACUAAUGACCACACUCCAAGGGGUAAUAGAAAGGUCCCAGGAGAGGCAAAACUAGUAGUCAGUAAGUGUAUGUGGCUAUAUAGGUCUGUGUAGGUACUCCUAAUCAAUAUUAAUUCCAUCCACUAUAGAUUUUAUAAAUCGUGUUAUUUUACAUUCGAACUAGUUGCUGCCCGCGACGCCGUCUGCGUGAACGCUAUACAGCACCAAAAAUACCUACGAUUAUACCUUUUAAAAUACCGUAAAACCGUACGACUUUGCCCAGAUUUCUUGCAAAUUUGAAUUCAACUUUAGAUAUUUUUUUUAAAUAAUACUAUUUCUAAUGUGUUAUUGCGCUACAUAAUUGGUAAAUGUAGUGUUCUUU